AGACCUAUGCUUAGGCAGCAGCACCUCUCUUAACCUUACUUUUGUGCGAUCCAUUACCAGUAAUGGGUUCAUAUUACCAUUGCCAUACUGGGUCUGCUGUAGACUAAAGCUGCAAUUGUCUAAGUUCAGUUCAUAAGGACUCCAGUUAACUCUGUAAAGGAUGAGCAGGUUUAACAGCACUCAGACAGAUGAGGCUACUUGCCAAUUCUUGCCUGAUCACUAGAGGAGGGGGUAACUGCUUCAUAACAGGCACAGAGAGUAGAUAUGAUGUUUUAAUGAAUGCAGCAUUUAUGUGUCUCUCUUUUGUCCUCACCCCAUCUCCAUGGCCAAACACUCAGCCAUCCUCCAUAAGAAAUGCCAAGCACCUACUCUAGAUGCUCAUGAGAAUGGCUCUCUGUAGGUCAUUUGUUGUGGGAAAGGGAACUAACUGGUGUAGGACUUCGAGACACUGCCCCUCAUUUACCAACACCCUUUUCCAGAGCCAUUCUCUCCUGUAUCUUCAAGCCAGAAUCUGCGCUCAGUCAGCUCUGUGUAUUUUAAAAGAGCUUUUCCAGUUGCAUCAGUGGAGAACACACCCACAACCCUUCCUGCACCAUCAUUUGUCCUGUGAGGCAGCUGCUUCGACCCAGGUGAGCAGGAAGCAUCCACUCCAGGAGACACCUCCAAAUUAAAUGUGCUGCCUUGAGAAGCUUAGUGGAUGCAGCUGAGAGCAGUCAAGCAAAAUCAUGAGCUUCCACACUCACACUCCCUGUGAAAUUUUAAAUUGACACCUCUGCUGACAGUUAUACUGAAUUUUGGAGGCUCUUACUAUCAAGGCUGCUGAGCUUCAGAAGCCUGACAGACACAAUCUAGAUGAGCUAGUGCUGAGAAAAUAAGUAUAAUUCAUCCCCUGCGAAUGUUCUGUUGUUAGAUGCAGUGGGGAGAACGUUUCUGUCUUUUUCUCCUGGGAGCUUGUCCUCAUUGAGGAUCAGAUCAGGCCAGAGGCAGCGGGCAGUGAUUGUUCUGAAGCUUGCUGGCAACCACAACUGUGUACCCUGCCUGUUCUACCACUGGAGGAUGCUAAAUGCCCCCACAUGUAGCCACAUCAAUCAGCUCCUGCUGCCCAGAAGGUGGCAAUGAGCAGGGAGAGAGUGGAUAUGCUCCCUGUGAUCAUACAGCUCUCCACUUUGACUCUGUGUACUGGCUCCCAUUCCCUGGCUGAGAGGCGUGCCUCCCUUCCCUUGUGGGCAUUGUGCUUUUAACCAUUCAUGAAACAGAAAACGUCUUAGAUUUGAUCUCCAUCCCUGCUGUGCCAGCAUAGAGGCUGAAAUCCACAAAGGGUGCAGGUGCCUCUGAAGAUCCCUCUUGGCAUACUGUGAAACUUGAGCUUCAGGACAGCAGCUGUGAGCUGCUGUGGUUCAAGGACAGGAGUUGUUGCAAAAGCACAGAUGUGGAUCUGUCAGUCUGAGGUAUGCUCUCAGUGAGAACAGCUUAAAAACAAAGCUAGCCUGAGAGAGGCUCCCCCUCGGAUACACGCAUGGAUCAGCUUUCAGUACUGGGGAAACAGCUGUGCUGGAAGCCCUCAUUUUGGGUUUAGGAGUUCAGAAGUGCCUCAGCUGAGAACUUGAACUGCCCUAACUGCAGAUUGUGUUGGAAGAUGCUGUCCCAGUUCCCAGGCCGGUGCCCUCUGGAUGAAGUUUGUCUCCCACUCAGGGUGACCUGGCAGGUACUGCACCUCAGAGGCCAUGCCUCCAUGUCCCAGUGUGGGAACAGCAAGCAGGGGCAGAGAUGAAUGGUCCUGAAAACUCUGUUCCUGCUGCAGCACCGUUAGGCACUUUAGUAGCCUCAAGUCAUGAAUACAGAGUUGUUCUCUAAACCUCCAGGGAGGAAGACACCUUUCUGGAGUGGAGGUGGGUGAGAAGUGCUUAGGAAAAGAACGCUGAGCUUUAACUCGUCUCCUGUGUGAACAUCAAGAAAUGUAGAAAAGAGAUCAUCAUCGGGAAAUGUAUCUUGAGCACACGAAUGUCAACAUUUGCUAUGUCACUUGUCAAGUUUCCAGUUGAAUUCUGAUAGCACGUUUGGCCCUGUGAACAGGGAGAAAAUACAGCAUUAUCUAGAACGGUUUUCCUUUCCCUUGAUAAAAUAGAAUAGCCUGGGUAAAGGCAGCCUACAGACAAGCAGGUGGCAAAUGAGGACCAAAGGAAGGAUGCACUGGGUUAAAAGCACAAGCGUUUGUACCAUGUGUGCAUGGGGAGAAAUGUCUCUCUGACUUUUUGCAGGAAGAUUUCCUGACUGACCCAGAAACCUCUCUGAGCACACCUUACCAACCAUCUUCGCUCAGGCCAUGAGGAACAAGGCUUCAAGCAUUCAAAAUGCAUCAAGGAUUUGAUAGACUGAAAAAAAUCAUGAGCAAUCAAACCGCCCCCUGCUCAAGAAACUCUGGGCUGGCAGGAUACAUUUAUUUGUUGAUUUAUUUAUACUGCAAUCUUUUCUGCCUGUUCUUUGUUUCACUUUGUUUUUUAACUUAGGUCAUCUGACAUACUCAUGAGGAAAGAACAAUUCCCCUCUCACCCCAGACGCUCACAGAAUAGCAGAGCUUGGCAUUCACUUCUGAAUGUCUUUAUGCUUCUUGCUGUCUGGGGUUUCUUUACAAUGGCAUCCUAAGCUGGCAAAAUAAUCAGAAACACAGCAAGGAGGGAAGUACAGCGAAGGGAACUGUUAUUCCUUUAUGCAAGAGACGUGGGUGGCACUAAGUUUCUGGCUCCUGAGCAAUCAUGGUGAGGUAAAAACAUGUGCGAAGGAGUGCCUCAAUCAAGUAGAUAGUCCCCAUGGGAUCUCAGGAGGCAUCCGUGAAGGGGGGCUCUUGGAAGGAUAUCUGAUUGUUGAUCUGUGUUCCCAUAGUGGGGAACUAGCAUGCAGACAUCCUGCUGUGGGAGUGAGAUUAGAGUGCAUAAGGGGCCAAAGGGAGUGAGAUGCAUCCCGAUGGGGAGGAAGGCAUGAGGAAACAAGGAGUAGGCAGAGAGCAGAGAGAGGGUGGCUGUGCUCAGUGUGGCCUGGCCUCCCUGCAAGCUGUCUCAGCACUGAAGAAGUACUGAAUGGGCCAUAAAAACUGUGCCUUUUUGUGACCCCAGAAAGGUCUUUACACAGCAAGUGUCCGGCAUAUGUGACCUGGGUAGCAUGGAGGAAGCCUGGCUCCGCCAAGCACUUUUCAUUCUCUGUUUGUCAGAGCUUCAUGCCCUGGCCUCUCUGUGUGAGGUAAUGAAUGGGCCUUGCACUCUAGUGGGUGUUGCUGACCCAUCCCUGCCAUUGGGCAGGAAGGCUGGCUCAAUGAUCCCACUCACCAUUAAUAGAAGACUGUCCCCUUCUUUGUGAUUUUAGUCCAUGAGCAAAGAGCAAGAGAAUAAAGGAGUCUAUUUAUGAUCUUCCAUUUUCCCCUCCCAGAUGGGUAGGGAUUCUGCCCGAAUGAAAAGGAGGGGAUGUGGUAAUUAAUUCCCUGGCCUUCAAUAUCAAGCGUAUCCUACUUGGGAUUUUGAUGCUACAGGUGGAUGUUUGUAGCAAGGGUAUGCUCCCAUUGCAAAGGACACCCCCACAUGCAUAUGUGCUUUUAGAGAUGAUGUCUCUCUGCAUCCCUAUAAAAAAGUAAAAUCAUUGUUCCUAUUUUUCCCCCUGGGGCCCCGGAUUGCAGUGAUAGGAGCACACUGUCACUCAGUUCUGCUCUGAGUUGCUCACAAGACCAGCCCUGCCACACCAGUCUCACAUCAGCCUGAAGAGGGAUUCUGUGAAUCAGGAAAUUCUGCCAGAUGCUAAAUUGUAUAGGACUGAGACUUUGUAUGGACUGUGUGGCUGCACACAGCUGUUGUUUCGGGCUAACAGAUGUUCUGAACACUCCAGCACAAAUACUCUUUUUACAAAUA